AACACAUGCAAGUCGAGGGGCAGCAUAUCGAAGCUUGCUUGAUAGAUGGCGACCGGCGCACGGGUGAGUAACGCGUAUCCAACCUUCCCCUUAGUAGGGCAUAGCCCGUAGAAAUGCGGAUUAAUACCCUAUGUUGUAUUAUGAGGACAUCUGAAUAAUACCAAAGGUUCACCGCUAAGGGAUGGGGAUGCGUCUGAUUAGGUUGUUGGCGGGGUAACGGCCCACCAAGCCAUCGAUCAGUAGGGGUUCUGAGAGGAAGGUCCCCCACAUUGGAACUGAGACACGGUCCAAACUCCUACGGGAGGCAGCAGUGAGGAAUAUUGGUCAAUGGGCGAGAGCCUGAACCAGCCAAGUAAGCGUGCAGGAUGACGGCCCUAUGGGUUGUAAACUGCUUUUAUACAGGGAUAAAGUCGGGGACGUGUCCCCGUUUGUAGGUACUGUAUGAAUAAGGACCGGCUAAUUCCGUGCCAGCCGCCGC
rnacentral:rRNA from 1 species